UACGAAGGGGGCUAGCGUUGUUCGGAUUUACUGGGCGUAAAGCGUGCGCAGGCGGUUCGUUGUGUCGGUGGUGAAAUCCCCGGGCUUAACCUGGGAAUGGCCAUGGAAACUGGCGAACUGGAGUGCGGCAGAGGGGGGUGGAAUUCCGCGUGUAGCAGUGAAAUGCGUAGAGAUGCGGAGGAACACCGAUGGCGAAGGCAGCCCCCUGGGCUAGCACUGACGCUCAGGCACGAAAGCGUGGGGAGCAAACAGG
rnacentral:rRNA from 1 species